rnacentral:snoRNA from 1 species
GGGGUGUGCUUAAAGCAGGUGGCCUGAAGAAUGGUGCCUCCGCUUACAACACACCUAACAGGAAUCUAAAGUCACUGUGACAGGGAGCACAAAACUUGUGAUUUCCCUUUGAGCAAAUGUCCUGCAUAU